rfam:Salmo salar isolate Sally breed double haploid chromosome ssa26, whole genome shotgun sequence.
CUCCCUGUGGCUCAGUUGGUAGAGCAUGGUGUUUGCAACGCCAGGGUUGUGGGUUUGAUUCCCACGGGGGGC